UAUGAGCAGGGGAAGCAACUCUCCAUGUUUUUGUGCACCGCUUGUUGCUAGGAAAAAUAUUUCCUUAGUAUCUCUGUGGGCUCUGCAAGUCAGCAUCAGUGGAGCUCUGCUUGUUGCCAGAGAGCAUAAAACAGCAAAUAUCAGGAAAAAAAUAGGAAUAAGAAGUAAAGCUUUAAGAAUGUUUGUGAAUGUCUGUCCCCUCAUAUGGUCAUCGAGGAGACUCAGAGACACACGCGCCUCCAAUCUUUCCUGGAACAAACUUGAGAGCGUCUUCCCAAGGAGCCACAGAACAAUUCAGUGGAUUUGCUUGAACUGGGUAUCGAGCCCCCAUUAAACAUUUCCCAGCCUCCACUGAUCAUCCUCCAGAUUGUCCCAUGGCUGCUCCCACUGCUGACUGCUGUUCAAGUUCUCACAUGGUGCUGCUCUUUGAAUUUUCAGUUUUUCACAAUAAAGUGGUCUUCCCCAC